rnacentral:rRNA from 1 species
GUGACAACUAGUUAAACGGCCGCGGUAUUUUGACCGUGCUAAGGUAGCGCAAUCACUUGUCUUUUAAAUGAGGACCUGUAUGAAUGGCGGAACGAGGGCUUAACUGUCUCCUUUUCCUAGUCAAUGAAAUUGAUCUACCCGUGCAGAAGCGGGUAUACUAAUACAAGACGAGAAGACCCUUUGGAGCUUAAGAUAAAAGGCCAACUAUGUCAAAGGCCCAAAUAAAACUAAGCCAAACAAAACAGCCAACUGGCCAAUAUCUUCGGUUGGGGCGACCGCGGGGGAAAACAAAGCCCCCACGUGGAACGGGGAAUAUACCCUAAAACCAAGAGAGACAUCUCUAAGUCACAGAACAUCUGACCAAAAGAUCCGGCCAACCAAGCCGAUCAACGGACCAAGUUACCCUAGGGAUAACAGCGCAAUCCCCUCCAAGAGUUCAUAUCGACAAGGGGGUUUACGACCUCGAUGUUGGAUCAGGACAUCCUAAUGGUGCAGCCGCUAUUAAGGGUUCGUUUGUUCAACGAUUAAAGUCCUACGUGAUCUGAG